rnacentral:lncRNA from 1 species
AAAGCCACCGAAAGCGGUCGAUUUGCGGUGGUUCAGCCGUUGGAGUUACACAGUUGUCGAGCUAGAUUUCCACCGCCGUCGUCUUGCGUGGGACGUCACCGCUGGCACCGUUGGACCCAUUGUGGCCGAAACCUUCAGACUUGAGCUUCGUAGCCACCGUUGACUAAAUUCCGGUCAGCGUUGACCUGCGAGGGCAAUUCGGUAAUUUCCAUUUUGAGGGCGAUUUUGUAAUUUGAAACCCUGUGGAUAUUUUAGUAAUUCCUGAAAUUAAGGAUUGGCUGGUAAUUACAAUUCCGAUGGUGAUUCGUUGAUUUAUGAUUUUGGAGUAUUUUAAUGAUUAACGGACUUUAUUGGUGAUUUUGUAUAUUCCACUCACAGAAUUGUAAAUUAUAGAUAGAUGUUCGUUUCGAGUUUAUUGAAUAAAUUUAGUCAUAAUUUAGAUUUACGAAAAAUAAUUAUGUGAUUUCCUUGAUUUAGGAGGAUUCGCGAACGAGAACUAGUCCGCAGGUGUGGACGAUAACCAAAUCUGAGCAUCGUCACUGUAAGUGGAAUAUACAAAACCUAUUUUCAUAGUUAAUUAUGAUAGUAAAACAUGCUUGCGAAAUAAGUAUUUUAAAUGUUUUGAUUUAAUGAUUUUCUCAAAAUGAAUUUAAUUCCCGCAUUGAUAUUUUAUUGAAAUGUUUGGUUAAUGAUUUUCCGUAUCGACUUUGGAUAAUAUAUUAUAGUAUUUUAAAAACAAGAAAAAUGGAUUUAAAUGUGAUAGUAAAAAGAAGAUAGAUUUAAAGUAUGUUAAAUAGAAAGGAAAUGAGAUUUAUAGUAUGAUUUUAUGUUCAUGUAUACGUGUAUAAGGCGUUGUUUGUAAAUUAUUGGACAAUACCUUUCUCUAGUUACAAUGAUAUUGAUAUGAUGAGGCCUUUGGAGUUGGUUUGAAUACACAUAGAGGCUUGGGGUCGUGUGCUUGGACGUUUUUAUCCUUUGGGGAUUUGAUCAUCCGUGCACAGAUAUGAUAAGAUAUGAGAUGACAUUUUCCCGUCUAUCUGUAUAGCUCCGGAGCAUGAUGGUACCUAAAUAAUAUGCCAUUGUCCAUCCAUUGAGGCCCGGAUAUGACGAAAUUAUUCCCCUGGGUGCUUGUUUAGUGAUGAUUUCAGAUUUGUGUAUUUUAUAUGAUAUUGUGAUAUGAUUUCUAUGGUUAUUACAUAU